rnacentral:tRNA from 1 species
GCACCGGUGGUGUAAGAUGAACAUCGCUGCCCGGAAAGCAGAAGAUGCGGGUUCGAGUCCCGCCUGGCGCA